rnacentral:lncRNA from 1 species
AUGCUCUGGUCCCAGGAAAACCGGGAAUUUCAUCCAGGGAAUGCUCUGGUCCUGGAAAACCAGGAAUUCUAUCCAGGGAAUGCUCUGGUUCUGGAAAACCAGCAAUUGUAUCCCGGGGAAUGCUCCGGCCCCAGGAAACCCGGGAAUUCCCAUCCAGGGAAUGCUCCAGUCCCGGGAAAACCAGGAAUUCCAUUCAGGGAAUGGGGAACGCUCCAGUCCUGGGAAAACCGGGAAUUCCAUCCAGGGAAUGCUCUGGUCCUGGAAAACCAGGAAUUUCACCCAGGGAUUGCUCUGAUCCUGGGAGAACUGGGAAUUCCAUCCCGGGAAUGGAGAAUGCUCCAGUCCUGGGAAAACCGGGAAUUUCAUCUGGGGAAUGCUCCACUCCCGGGAAAUUCGGGAAAACUGACUCCUCCUCCAGCAGGUUUGGGAUCAGGAUUCCCAAAAUCCCACCCCUCAUCCAGGGAAGGGUCACCUGUCCCUGGGACAGCCCCAAACCCACGGGAUGAUCCCAGCCCAUUCCAGAAGGAUUCCUUAGGAUCAGGAUUCCCAAAAUCCCGCCCCAUCCCAAGAAGAGUCACCUCCCUGCUGUCCCUGGGACAGCCGCACACCCAUGGGACGAUCCCAGCCCAUCCCAGACCUCGGCCAGGAUCAUUCCCGGGGAUCAGGACCCCCGAUCCCGCCCCAUCCCAGGAAAACCCACAUUCCCUCCCUCCCUGGCUCCGCGCUGACCGCGGAGCUCGCUGGCGUUCCGCAGCAUCUCCCCGUGCCGCGCGUCCACCGCCCUCAUCUCCUGCGCGGCCCGGCUCAGGUUCCUCACGCCCAGCUCCAGCCGCGCUGCCAGCAGCCCGGAUCGCUCCCGCAGCUCCUCCGCGCCCGCCCGCGCCGCUCCCGGGCUCCGCCGCAGCUCCCGGAGCCGCUCCUGCCCGCGCUGCCGCCUGCGGGCGCGGCGCCGCCGCAGCUCCCGCGCCCCGUCCCGCUGCUCCUCCGGCCGCAGCUGCAGCGCCAGCAGCUCCAGCGCCAGCUCCUGCAGCGCCUCGGAACUCCGCGAUGUUUCCCGCACGGCCGGGCCCAGCCCCGCCUGCAGGCUCCGGAGCUGACCCGCGCCCCGCGAUUAAUCCGCGCGGAGCGUCCCGAGGAGCCGAGUCACGUUCUGCCCCUCGGCCGCCGCCGCCCGCAGCGCCGGCAUCUCCUCAGCCACGUUCUCCUGGAGCUCACGGAGCCGCCGGGAAUUCUGCGCCAGGCUGGAAUUCAGCAGCUCCGCCGCCGCUCCAGCCUGGGACUCCCGCCGGGCCGGGUCCCGCAGGGAGUUCCGCAGGCGGGCGGUGCCGCCCUGGCGCUCCCGCAGCCGCGCCGGGCCCCGGCUGA